ACUUCCCAGGACAUAAUUUUAAAGUAGCAUUGGUAACACAACCAAUGGCAGGGAGACACGGUGGCAUAUUGGGGACAUGAUAUUAUCUCACAUAUAUAUACACACACAUACACAUACAUACAUAUAUGGAUCUCCUUGUAAAGAAGAGAAGGAUCUUUAUAGAUUUGAAAUUGAGGUUACCAGUACCUGGCUACCAUGAAGAUAUAUUACACGUCUGUCUUGAUUCUCUGCAUAGCCCUCGUCAUUGGUCCAGGGUGCACACAAAAGCCAAAAAUAAAGGAUACUGCUCACUGUUUAGAGGCAGGUGGUACAUGUGAAAAAAAGAAGUGCAAUUUGGCAAAAAAGAUUGGCAAGUGUGACAAAAAAAUGUCAUGUUGCAGAGCAACUAAGUGGUAUGUCUAAAAGAAGCAAUAGGAACUGAUGAGACCCAGCCCAUUUUUCAUUCAACCAUUGCAUAGCUAUCCACAUUGUUUCAACUGCUUCUACCUUCUAGUUAAUACCAUUCAGAUAUUACGAUUCACUCAUUGUUUCCUACUUACUGCUUGGAUGUAGUUCUCCACAGAGGUGUUCAUGUUCACAUAAUAUAUCCAAUGCAAGGGCAGUGAGUCUACCUGUGAACACAGAAGAUAGGUCAAAGUUUUAUGUUUAAUGCUGUGAUUAUUCCUACUUUAAACCAUACAAAUUUAAAAUAAAGUGAUUGGAAAUACA